CUCAUUACUCUCUCAAAAUUCUACUUUCUUCAUUUUAGUUCAAUCCAUCUUCUUCUUUCUUUUUCAUUUUAAUCUUCAUCAUCACUCUUCACAAAGGUCAAUCACCAUAAAAAUUUACAAUGAUGAUGAUCAUUGCUUUACUUUUAAAGUUGCAGGCGUGGAACACGUGGGAGUAGAUAUGUUUGAGAGUGUUCCUCAUGGAGAUGCCAUUUUUAUGAAGGUGGGUUUUUCCUUUUGUAGGAAGGAAUUAUUUUUCUAUAAUUUCUCAAUAUUAAAUUCUCAUUAUUAGUUCCAAUACAUUUAAGUUUAUAGU